UACGUAGGGUGCAAGCGUUGUCCGGAAUUAUUGGGCGUAAAGAGCUCGUAGGCGGUUUGUCGCGUCUGCUGUGAAAACGCGAGGCUCAACCUCGCGCCUGCAGUGGGUACGGGCAGACUAGAGUGCGGUAGGGGAGAUUGGAAUUCCUGGUGUAGCGGUGGAAUGCGCAGAUAUCAGGAGGAACACCGAUGGCGAAGGCAGGAAUCUCUGG
rnacentral:rRNA from 1 species